ACAAUGAUACUUCCGUAAUUCGCGGCCCGGUCAUAAAGAAGACGGGGUGGUCGAGAGGCCAAUGG
rnacentral:ncRNA from 1 species